rnacentral:rRNA from 1 species
UACGUAGGUGACCAGCGUUGUCCGGAUUUACUGGGCGUAAAGAGCGCGCAGGCGGUCGUUCAAGUCGAGUGUGAAAGCCCCCGGCUCAACUGGGGAGGGUCAUUCGAUACUGAUCGACUCGAAGGCAGGAGAGGGAAGCGGAAUUCCCGGUGUAGUGGUGAAAUGCGCAGAUAUCAGGAGGAACACCGGUGGCGAAGGCGGUUCUCUGGGCAGUAACUGACGCUGAGGAGCGAAAGCGUGGGGAGCGAACAGG